CCACAGCUUCCUGUGUACAUUCCCUUUUGCCAGUUUCCUCUUUCCAUCAACAAAAUUGAGUUUGUUCAAAAUCUCAACCCAAUUCUUUGAGGAAGAGCCCAGACAUUGAGACGAAAUCAUCUCUGACAAGGAUGAAGAUAUUGACGAUGGUUCUCAGUUUGCUUCAUAUCCAGUGGACAAUGGGUUCACACUGUACAGAGACACCAAUAGUCAGGGAAGGGGUCAAAGCUACUGCUCCUAACUGUUCCCUCAGCUGCCUGGAUUGGAGAAAGUUAAACAUAAACGGUGUCACAAAGCUCUCACUAGAAAGCUGCAGAAUCUCCCAAGUUAUUAACAUUUCUCAGAAUUCUGAGCUGAUCGAACUGAAUCUCAUGAACAAUGAAUUCGAACAGCUUCCGAAAAAUCUCCUCCUAAACUUUGAAAACUUAAAAGUACUGAAUGUAAAUGGAAACCCUCUAAAAUCCAUUCCUCUCAGCAUCAUUCAGGGAGUACAAGUUAUCUUUCAAUGUUCUUGCAGUGUUUUGAAAGAUUUGACAGAGAAUUGCAAUAAAGCAGAAAACUGUACACAGAAUUUCAUGGAGAAUCUGAAUUGCAAUGGAGCAAACAAUUUCAGUGUGUUCAACGUGAGCAGUUUUUACAGUGCGGAAUGCAGCAGGACAAAUCGCAUUUCCGUCUAUGUCCUCGUUCCAUUGCUCAUUCUCGGCAUUGGAAUCACUAUUUGUGUCGUGAUCAAAUAUUCCUCCAAAUGCAAUACCAACAGUUCCCACUCCCCGAACAAACGUCAUUCUGUUUCUUCCUUGGAUCAUGGUCAGCAAAGAUACGUCAGCAGAGCAAACUGGAAAGAUCCAGCAGCAGUGUCAGAGAAUGCAGAAUGUUCUAGAGGGGUCAGGCAGCAACAGAUGGUGCACAAGGAUUAUGAGAACAUGCUGAUUGGUGAAUCUGAUGGGGCACGGGAAAGAUGUGACAGCAACUCCCAGACAGAGUGAGGCCAGAGCAGCUAUGGACCUGAAAGGAGCUAUCAGGAGAACGGUCCAGUUACAAACCAGCCAGGGUGACAGAACUGCUCAUUCUGGAAGAGGUGUCAGUGUCAGAAUCUCUUCUGAGGCAUCUCAGGAAUCCGAAGAGUGCGGAUGACACGUAUUACCUGGAAAGUGACCCAGCUUGUGAUAUUUAUUUAAACGAGCAGCCUGUUUAUUGUAAUUACACAGAGUCUGUUGCUAACCCAGAGGAUGAUGUGUAUAUCAUACCAGACAAGUAAAUAAAACAUUGUAACCCCA